CAGCACCAGGUCCUGUGGUUGCAUUCCUGUUUUGGAACAGAACCAUGCCCCCUGAUGUAUCCGGCGUCUCUCUCUUUCCUGAUCCUGAAGCAGCAAGUCCACGCUCCCUUUCCCUCUGAGGAUUGCCGCCAAGAAUCAGAAAUGACUGAGGGAGAACAUGCGAGGAGAACGCGGCUCUGCAGUGCAGUGGGGUGCCCUGCGAUGUAUCGCUGGCCGGAAGUCCACUCCUCGGGAGCCGGUCACACAGUGAGACCUCCAGGCGAAGCCACAGGGAUUCAUGCAGGAGGCAUCAUGGGACAGAAGGUUUCCCACAUCGAUGCUUCUGGAACUCAGGAACUGAUCUCCAGGUCAUUUAGAUAGGACUAGAGUCUUCCCUGGAAUGACUGCCUCCGCCCCAGGCUGAAAGCCCUGCCCUGGCCAGGCUAAUUCCCAGAGCGGGCUGCCCCUGGGCGCAGCUGGUUUCCUGAAGCUCCAGCUGCCUCUGAUCCUGUUUGCAGGCCUGGUGCUGUGGCCUCAUCUGUCAGUUGUGUUCUUUCUUUCAGGAUAAUCAUUAAUAAAGGCUGCAGUCUUUUGAAUGAGAGCGUGUGUGUGUGUGUGUGUGUGUGUGUGUGUGUGUGUGUGUAUGUGUCCAGGUAGGACAAAUGCUUCUCAAGGGACGUUCCUUCCCAAUGGAGGAGGUCAAGACGGUUGCCCAGGGUGGCCCCUCCUGCUCCCCUUGGGAACACAGUGUAUUUGGACUCAGCAGGUAAAUGCUGGUCUUCAUUUCUCAGGUCUUUUUCAUUUGUUCAUAGCCUAGCUGUUCCUAACGAGAAAUAUUUUAUCCCCCACAUCAAAUCCCCUAAUUCCCUCACCAUCAACGUGUAGCCAGGGAAACUGCACUGCCAGCCAGGCAGCAAACUCAGCUGAGGAAAAUUAGUCCUCAUCAGGCAACAGACCCCACUUAGAAACAGAACUGGCACGUCGAAUGACUUGAGCCUGCCGCCUGUCGGGGGAUUUACCAUCCACCUGAUCCAGCUCGUGAAAUAAUUUCCCUGAUUCAGCUUUCAAGUCCCAGCCUGCCCUCGUCCCAUCUUGUCCCACAUCCAGACGAGCCAUGAGAAAGCCCUGGCUCUCCCUCCCCUGGUGCCAGGGAGAAGUUCUAAGCCUGCAGCUCUGCGUGUGGGAAUCUUCAGCCCAGCUCCACCCCUAAGUGCAAUAAAACCCAAAGCCAGUUGCCCCGGCUUGCUCUCUCAAGCCAUCUUUGGACCUGCCUGAGAGUCUGCCCCGCUCCCUCCAGAAAGCCUCAUCCUGUGACUAACGAAUCUCUGCACCCUUUCUUGGUGCCUGUGUGGGGGAGGGGAGCGGGUGGAUGUCACCCUGCUGUGCCAUCGUAAGACAGAAAUUCUUGAGAUCAGGCAGACCUCCUCAAAAGUCAACAGGCAUAACUGAGGGAAGUUCAGACACUCAGUCAAGACCUGUGAUUCGGCUCCUGGUUAGAAGAUAAAUGGAAUGAACUAGAAGCUCGCUAAUUUCACAACUUCUACACCCAUCACUACAUCACUACGUUAAAUUCCCACCAUUUACUCUUGACAGUCCUGCUAACAUAUAUCAAAAAAAGGAAUUCAAACAAGAAAAAUGCUGUCUGUGCGCAGAUGACUUAUUCUAUUAGCACUACUUGAGCAUGAAAUAAAUGGAAGCUCCUGAGAUAGCUAACUCUAAAGAGGAAAACGAGUAAAAUAUUAUUUCAUUAAAAAAAUAGAAUAAUUUACCACUAUCCAAAUAUCAUAAUUACGGUGACUGAAUUAAAUGGAAGAGUGCUUACUUUGUUAGACUGGACAUUACAUUGCAAAUAUUCAACCUGUUUUGACUUAGAGGGCUGUCAGUUUCAUGGGGUUCAAACUUAAAGUUUGUGGAAAAAGCGGGACGCUGCAGUCUUCACUGUCAUUGCAGUGGGAAACUGUGAUGUGAUUUUACGUAUGUUUGUGAACAAAGGCGGGAGAGGAAAUAGCAAAAUGGAGAUGUCAACUGUUUGGUUCAAUAGUAGUUGGAAUUUUUCCUCAGAAAAAGUGUCUGUUCCUUUAUUGUAUAUUAUUCUCCAUUUAAAAAAGAUGUAUUCAUUAUAUAACUGCCAUUUGGAAAAGGAUUAACAUGCCACUUUGUAUCCCAUUUAUGUGGGCUGCAUGGGUUAUUGAGUGCUUUCCCUGCUCAAAUCCUUUUGGCAUUAGGAGGUAGAGAGAAAACUCUUAAAGUUUGUAAUUCACCAUCGACAUGAGGUCAGCGAGCAGAGAACGCAGCUGAGAGAGUUGAAUGUCCAUGAGGAAUAAUAAAAUGUGUAUCUGGUGACCUCAUUGACGGAUUGUGCUAGAAACUGGCUUAGAUGCUCAGCGACACUUUUCUCUUUCUGGCCUCCCGGGAGGACAGCAUAGCCCAGACUCCCAUGUGUUUAACUUGGAUCAUGCAAAUAACUUGUUGCCGUUGGAAAAUGAGAAGUAACUGUGAAAUCGUGUCUUCGUCAGGCUUCCUCACGUGGGCUCCUUCCUGGGGAGGGGGGCUUCUUGUUCCUCAGGGGUUCCAGUUUUCCCACCUCCCCUGGAUUUAGUCCUCUGUUGGGGUUGCAGGCUCACAUGAUGGCCAGACAGUGUCUUCAUUAGGGUGGGAUUUAGUGACCCUGAACCACUGGCCGUCAGGCUGGUCGUCUCCUGUUCACACAUUUGGGCCUGGGUCUGGCUGCCAUCAUGGCCAGAAGGGAGGCAGGGGCAGGUGCUGCCCUGGUUCCUGAGACUAAGACAUGGAUAACAGCCUGUCAGCUUACGUCACAAUCUUGAAAACAUGUUGACUACACUCUCCACUUUUGCCUGAGGGUGAUACCAACCCUGAUAUCAGUUUCCUCACAUUAAACCCAGCAUACAUGGAGUUAAAACCAAAACCCUCAUUCCCUGCUUACUCCCUGGCUUCCUGGCUCCAGAAUCCACUAUCUUCCAUGGAGACAGACACCGUCAAGGACAAGCACCUGGAUUCAUUAUCUCCUCCCCACAAAGAGAUACAGGCUGGUGGGAAAGUUGCUGACCAGCAAGGUCAUGGGCUCCCUCCUCUCUGCAAGUGUCUCAAGGCCAAAGACAGGCUGGUAGGAAAGUUCUGACCAGCAAGGCUAUACACUCCCUCUCCCCUACCUAAAACCCCAAAUAAAAACCCUUCCCGGACAUGGCACCGCUCGUCAGGCCACGUUGAAGUGGCAUCCCAUAUCCCACAACUAGAAGGACCUGCAACUAAGAUACACAACUGUGUGUGUGUGGGGGCGGG
rnacentral:lncRNA from 1 species